rnacentral:tRNA from 1 species
AAAAAGGUAAUUAAUCAAGCUAAUGGGUUCAUACCCCAUUUAUAGAAGUAUUAAUCUUCUCCUUUUUA